UAAGUUUAGCCAUUUUGGUGUCAUUGCAUGUUGGUGUUAAUUUCCAUUUCCUUGAUGACACGAAAUGGAGCAAAUUUUCAUUUGUUAUUGUCCGGUGGGAUAUCUAUCCUCUUUUGUUAAGUGUCUCUUAAGGUCUUUUGCCCAUUCAUCUAUGGGGUUGAUCUCCUCUAUUGCUUAGUGGUUUAUAGGAGCUCUUCCCUGAUUCCAUCGCCCCCAAACCACUACCCAGAUUAGCUCUGCUUUUUGUUCCAGACCAAGUGCUGGACAACAUCAGAGAAAGAAAAGUUCUUACCAUGAUGUAACUUUGUUUCCAUGAAGAAGAUUUGUAGUAAGAAGCUGAGAAACAGCGGACGGUGGAGAGAGAAGACUUGACUUGCUUCACGAACGAGAGCAGGAGGCGUCACUGGGGAUUUGCUAAGCAAGAAACUGCAAAGCAACGGUUUUUGUCAAUCCCCCAUUAUUUUAAUGGCUCUAUGAUAGUUUGUCUAGAGACAUACUACAAUCCCCUCUGGAUCUUGAGGUGAUUGUAUGCAUCAGAAUGAAGGACCAUCAGUUGAGAGGUGCAAUGGUUCAGCAUUUGCUGUCAGUGUUCGUGGUGACUUUGCCAAACGUAGACACCGUGAAUAGCAGGAACCAACUCCAUGCGGUAAAGAGUCAGAAGAGAGAGUUUGUUAAUUUUUCUCAGCUCUCAUUGCACAUCCUUAGGUUUAUCUUGAUUUAACUUCUAGGCUACAGGUUUUUCAUCUGAUUAAAAAGAAUGGUAUUAAUAAUUCCAGAGCCACUGUCUGAAAAGUAUUAUUUUAAAGAUUAAGUAAAGUGAUAGGUAUAAAAUUGCUUUGUAAACUGAAAUGCUAUAAUAAGAGCAGUGAGCAUCAUUUAUUUAAGGGGGAGAAAACAUGCUAGGGAUUUUAUAAUUACCAUUGCUUACUGUCAUUUCAUAAGAGCAUUCUAUUCUUUCUCGAUUUAAUAAGGUGACAAAUCACAUGUUCAGCUGUUAAAGCAGUUUGCAUCUAUUAAUAAAAUUCAAAUUUCAUUU